GCAAUUAUACCGUGAAACUGCGAAUGGCUCAUUAAAUCAGUUAUCGUUUAUUUGAUAGUACCUUACUACUUGGAUAACCGUGGUAAUUCUAGAGCUAAUACAUGCUAAAAACCCCGACUUCGGGAGGGGUGUAUUUAUUAGAUAAAAAACCAACGCCCUUCGGGGCUCCUUGGUGAAUCAUAAUAACUUAACGGAUCGCAUGGCCUUGCGCCGGCGACGGUUCAUUCAAAUUUCUGCCCUAUCAACUUUCGAUUGUAGGGUAUUGGCCUACAAUGGUAUCAACGGGUAACGGGGAAUUAGGGUUCGAUUCCGGAGAGGGAGCCUGAGAAACGGCUACCACAUCCAAGGAAGGCAGCAGGCGCGCAAAUUACCCAAUCCCGACACGGGGAGGUAGUGACAAUAAAUACUGAUACAGGGCUCUUUUGGGUCUUGUAAUUGGAAUGAGUACAAUUUAAAUCCCUUAACGAGGAACAAUUGGAGGGCAAGUCUGGUGCCAGCAGCCGCGGUAAUUCCAGCUCCAAUAGCGUAUAUUAAAGUUGUUGCAGUUAAAAAGCUCGUAGUUGAACCUUGGGUCUGGCUGGCCGGUCCGCCUCACCGCGUGCACUGGUCCGGCCGGACCUUUCCUUCUGGAGAACCGCAUGCCCUUCACUGGGUGUGUCGGGGAACCAGGACUUUUACUUUGAAAAAAUUAGAGUGUUCAAAGCAGGCCUUUGCUCGAAUACAUUAGCAUGGAAUAAUAGAAUAGGACGUGCGGUCCUAUUUUGUUGGUUUCUAGGACCGCCGUAAUGAUUAAUAGGGAUAGUCGGGGGCAUCAGUAUUCAAUUGUCAGAGGUGAAAUUCUUAGAUUUAUUGAAGACUAACUACUGCGAAAGCAUUUGCCAAGGAUGUUUUCAUUAAUCAGUGAACGAAAGUUAGGGGAUCGAAGACGAUCAGAUACCGUCGUAGUCUUAACCGUAAACUAUGCCGACUAGGGAUCGGGCGAUGUUAUUCUUUUGACUCGCUCGGCACCUUACGAGAAAUCAAAGUUUUUGGGU
rnacentral:rRNA from 1 species